CAGUAGCCGCGGGAAUACGGAGGGUGCAAGCGUUAAUCGGAAUUACUGGGCGUAAAGCGUGCGUAGGCGGUUCGUUAAGUCUGUUGUGAAAGCCCCGGGCUCAACCUGGGAAUGGCAAUGGAUACUGGCGAGCUAGAGUGUGUCAGAGGAUGGUGGAAUUCCCGGUGUAACGGUGAAAUGCGUAGAGAUCGGGAGGAACAUCAGUGGCGAAGGCGGCCAUCUGGGACAACACUGACGCUGAGGCACGAAAGCGUGGGGAGCAAACAGGAUUAGAUACCCCAGUAGUCCCUGUCUCUUAUAA
rnacentral:rRNA from 1 species